GACGAUUUCGUUUGGCUCUGUGAGCUGGGCGGGGUGAGUUGGUGGGGUUGGUGGCUGGUGGGGGUGUGUGUUUGUUGUGGAUUGUUUUUGUAGUGUGUUGUGUCUUUGUAGUUUUUGUUGAGUGUUUGUGUUGACAAGCUGUAAAGGGCACAUGGUGGAUGCCUUGGCAUCAAGAGCCGAUGAAGGACGUUGGAGCCUGCGAUAAGCCCUGGGGAGUUGGCAACCGAGCUGUGAUCCGGGGGUGUCCGAAUGGGGAAACCUGGCUGGAGUCAUGUCCAGUUACCCACGCCUGAAUGAAAUAGGGUGUGUGGAGGGAACGUGGGGAAGUGAAACAUCUCAGUACCCAUAGGAAGAGAAAACAAAAGUGAUUCCGAGAGUAGUGGCGAGCGAAAUCGGAUGAGGCUAAACCUUCUUCGUGUGAUACCCGGCAGGGGUUGCGGAGGAGGGGUCGUGGGAGCAUUCAUGUACAUCUGCCGGUGUACGAGACAGUAAGAAAAUCCUGGUGAAGCUCAAGCCCAUUGGAAAGUGGCGCCGUAGAGGGUGAUAGCCCCGUAGGUGUAAGCCUGGAUCUGUCGAGUGUUUUCCCAAGUAACACGGAACUCCUGAAAUUCCGUGUGAAUCUGGCGGGACCACCCGUUAAGCCUAAAUACUUCUUGAUGACCGAUAGCGGACAAGUACCGUGAGGGAAAGGUGAAAAGUACCCCUGGCGGGGAGUGAAAUAGUACCUGAAACCAUGUGCCUACAAUCCGUCAGAGCGGUCCCCUUGUGGGGUUGUGAUGGCGUGCCUUUUGAAGAAUGAGCCUGCGAGUUUGCGUUGUGUUGCGAGGUUAACCCGUGUGGGGUAGCCGUAGCGAAAGCGAGUCUGAAUAGGGCGACUCAGUAGCACGAUCAAGACCCGAAGCGAAGUGAUCUAUCCAUGGGCAGGUUGAAGCGCGGGUAAGACCGCGUGGAGGACCGAACCCACUUAGGUUGAAAACUGAGGGGAUGACCUGUGGAUAGGGGUGAAAGGCCAAUCAAACUUCGUGAUAGCUGGUUCUCCCCGAAAUGCAUUUAGGUGCAGCGUUGCGUGUUUCUUGCCGGAGGUAGAGCACUGGAUAGCUAAUGGGCCCUACAAGGUUACUGACGUUAGCCAAACUCCGAAUGCCGGUAAGUGAGAGCGCAGCAGUGAGACAGUGGGGGAUAAGCUCCAUUGUCGAGAGGGAAACAGCCCAGACCAUCAGCUAAGGCCCCUAAGCGGUGACUAAGUGGAAAAGGAUGUGGAGUCGCAGUGACAACCAGGAGGUUGGCUUGGAAGCAGCCACCCUUGAAAGAGUGCGUAAUAGCUCACUGGUCAAGUGAUUCCGCGCCGACAAUGUAGCGGGGCUCAAGUCAUCCGCCGAAGCUAUGGCAUUCACAUAUUAAGCUAAGCCGCACAUUCGUUGUGUUGGUUCAGGCGUGUGGAUGGGUAGGGGAGCGUCGUGUCGCGGGUGAAGCCGCGGAGUGAUCCAGUGGUGGACGCGACACGAGUGAGAAUGCAGGCAUGAGUAGCGAAUGAAGAGUGAGAAACUCUUCCGCCGAAUGAUCAAGGGUUCCAGGGUCAAGCUAAUCUGCCCUGGGUAAGUCGGGACCUAAGGCGAGGCCGACAGGCGUAGUCGAUGGACAACGGGUUGAUAUUCCCGUACCGGCAAAGUAGCGCCCAUGACGAGCCCGGUGAUGCUAACCACCCGAAA
rnacentral:rRNA from 1 species